GACAGAGGUGCCGAGCGUUAGGCGGAAUCACUGGGCUUAAAGCGUGUGUAGGCGGGUCCGUAAGUACCUUGUGAAAUCCCAUGGCUCAACCAUGGAACUGCUUGGUAUACUGCGGAUCUUGAGCCACCUAGGGGCAAGUGGAACAAACGGUGGAGCGGUGAAAUGCGUAGAUAUCGUUUGGAACGCCAAUGGUGAAAACAACUUGCUGGGGGUGUGCUGACGCUGAGACACGAAAGCCAGGGGAGCGAAUGGG
rnacentral:rRNA from 1 species